rnacentral:rRNA from 1 species
GACGAACGCUGGCGGCGUGCCUAACACAUGCAAGUCGAACGGAACUCUUUGGAUCAAAGGGCUUCGGCCAAGUGAAUUUGAGUUUAGUGGCGGACGGGUGAGUAACGCGUGAGCAACCUGCCUUUCAGAGGGGGACAACAGUUGGAAACGACUGCUAAUACCGCAUAACACAUCGAGGGGGCAUCCCCAUGAUGUCAAAGAUUUAUCGCUGAAAGAUGGGCUCGCGUCUGAUUAGAUAGUUGGCGGGGUAACGGCCCACCAAGUCGACGAUCGGUAGCCGAACUGAGAGGUUGAUCGGCCGCAUUGGGACUGAGACACGGCCCAGACUCCUACGGGAGGCAGCA